rnacentral:rRNA from 1 species
GACGAACGCUGGCGGCGUGCUUAACACAUGCAAGUCGAACGGAAAGGCCCAGCUUUUGUGGGGUGCUCGAGUGGCGAACGGGUGAGUAACACGUGAGUAACCUGCCCUUGACUUUGGGAUAACUUCAGGAAACUGGGGCUAAUACCGGAUAGGAGCUCCUGCUGCAUGGUGGGGGUUGGAAAGUUUCGGCGGUUGGGGAUGGACUCGCGGCUUAUCAGCUUGUUGGUGGGGUAGUGGCUUACCAAGGCUUUGACGGGUAGCCGGCCUGAGAGGGUGACCGGCCACAUUGGGACUGAGAUACGGCCCAGACUCCUAAGGGAGGCAGCAGUGGGGAAUAUUGCACAAUGGGCGGAAGCCUGAUGCAGCAACGCCGCGUGCGGGAUGACGGCCUUCGGGUUGUAAACCGCUUUCGCCUGUGACGAAGCGUGAGUGACGGUAAUGGGUAAAGAAGCACCGGCUAACUACGUG